rnacentral:rRNA from 1 species
AGUUGUUCCACCAGGAGCACGGCUGGUUGGCUACGUUCGGAAGGGAUAACCGCUGAAAGCAUCUAAGCGGGAAGCCUGUUCCAAGAUUAGGUUUCUCACCACCUUGAGUGGGUAAGACCCCCUACAGACUAUGGGGUUGAUAGGCCAGAACUGGAAGCGCAGUAAUGCGUGUAGGUGACUGGUACUAAUCGGUCGAGGGCUUACCACACA